rnacentral:rRNA from 1 species
AAUCAACGCUGGCGGCGUGCCUAACACAUGCAAGUCGAACGCGAAAGCCCCUUCGGGGGUAAGUAGAGUGGCGUCCGGGUGAGUAACACGUAGGUAAUCUACCUUCGGGUGGGGAAUAACCAGUCGAAAGAUUGGCUAAUACCGCAUAAUGCAGCGGCACCUAAUGGUGAUUAGUUGUUAAAGCGGGGGAUCGUAAGACCUCGCGCCUGAAGAGGAGCCUGCGGCAGAUUAGCUAGUUGGGAGU